UACGAAGGGGGCUAGCGUUGUUCGGAAUUACUGGGCGUAAAGCGCACGUAGGCGGAUUUGUAAGUCAGGGGUGAAAUCCCGGGGCUCAACCUCGGAACUGCCUUUGAUACUGCAAGUCUCGAGUCCGAUAGAGGUGAGUGGAAUUCCUAGUGUAGAGGUGAAAUUCGUAGAUAUUAGGAAGAACACCAGUGGCGAAGGCGGCUCACUGGACUGGUAUUGACGCUGAGGUGCGAAAGCGUGGGGAGCAAACAGG
rnacentral:rRNA from 1 species